UUGGAUUCAGGGAGUGGAGGUCAUUGCUGCCCAGUGGCGAGAAGCUAAACGGCAGCCUUAGCGUGAGGGUUUAAAGGUAGCAUAUAAUGUUUCGCUUAAUUAGUGAGUGGUAUGAAAGAUGUUACGAGGGUGGAGCUGUCUCGGGAUAAUUUAUUGGAAGUUUAUUUUUAAGUGCAAAAGCUUAGGUGAAACCAUUAGACGAUAAGACCCCGUGAAACUUCAGGGUUUGGUACAAAGGUAAAAAGAGAGCGAUAAAUCGUAGAGUUGAGUCGCCUGGCUGACCCUUCGGCUGGGGCGGCCCGGGGGUGGUAAGGAACCCCCUGGAAGAGAUUUUUGACUUUGCAUGCGCUGAACCACGGCAGAGGGACGUGGUAAUCGGAGCAAGUUACUCCGGGGGUAACAGCGUAAUUCUCCUGGAGAGUGCAUAUUGAGAGGGGGGUUUGCGACCUCGAUGUUGAAUGUGGCGGUAACCUGGGGCUUGCAGCAGGUCUUGAGGUUGGACUGUUCGUCCAUUAAAAGCCUACC
rnacentral:rRNA from 1 species